AAGAAGUUAGUUUAAAAAAAACAUUAAAAUGUCAAAUUAAAAUUAUUAAAAAAUACUUCUUU
rnacentral:tRNA from 1 species